AUACCAUGAUGUGGGCAAUUCUUAAUCAUCAUUUUGAACCGCUUAAACACUUCAUGGAAAAGCUCACCAGCUUGCUGUUGGAAGUUCCGAAUGUCUUUCCUAGCGU
rfam:Helianthus annuus linkage group 7, whole genome shotgun sequence.